rnacentral:tmRNA from 1 species
GGGGAUGUUUUGGUUUUGACAGCAUCGAUGCGGGACAGUAAGCACGUCGUGAGCCGGGGGCUUCUCACGUAAAUACCAGCUUCCGAAAAAUUAGUUGGCAACAACUCUUAUGCACUCGCUGCGUAGUUAGCUAAGCUCUCUACCUUAAUCCGGUCCGCCAAGGCUGCGGGCCCGACGAGUAUCCCUCCGGACUUUAGGCCGGUUAUGUCCGGGCCCAGGGGUAUCAUUCAAACCGGAUGCGUGAGGUAAUGUCCCUGAAUCCUCACUAAGACGUAGGGAAUAAGCUCUAAGUGGCCCGUCUUCCGGCAGCUUUCCGCCGACAACCAAAGGAAGAAUAAGCGUGUAGAAAGCUCUCUUGUGCGUUGUUUGGACGGCGGUUCGAGUCCGCCCAUCUCCACAA